rnacentral:rRNA from 1 species
UGGGGAAUUUUGGACAAUGGGCGAAAGCCUGAUCCAGCAAUGCCGCGUGUGUGAAGAAGGCCUUCGGGUUGUAAAGCACUUUUGUCCGGAAAGAAAUGGCUCUGGUUAAUACCUGGGGUCGAUGACGGUACCGGAAGAAUAAGGACCGGCUAACUACGUGCCAGCAGCCGCGGUAAUACGUAGGGUCCAAGCGUUAAUCGGAAUUACUGGGCGUAAAGCGUGCGCAGGCGGUUGUGCAAGACCGAUGUGAAAUCCCCGAGCUUAACUUGGGAAUUGCAUUGGUGACUGCACGGCUAGAGUGUGUCAGAGGGGGGUAGAAUUCCACGUGUAGCAGUGAAAUGCGUAGAGAUGUGGAGGAAUACCGAUGGCGAAGGCAGCCCCCUGGGAUAACACUGUCGCUCAUGCACGAAAGCGUGGGGAGCAAACAGG